rnacentral:lncRNA from 1 species
UUUAAUAGCAGCGUUUUCAUCAUUCACUCAAUUCAUUCAAAUUUUAAUGGUUUUAAGAGCAACAAUUUCAUCAUUCCCACAAUUCAAUCAAUUUUCACAGGUUUAAAAGUAACAUUUUCAUCAUUCACACAAUUCAAUCAAAUUUCAUGGGUUUAACAACAACAUUUUCAUAAUUCACACAAUUCAUUCAAAUUUCAUGGGUUUAACAUUAACAUUUUCA